UACAGAGGUCCCGAGCGUUGUUCGGAUUCAUUGGGCGUAAAGGGUGCGUAGGCGGCGGGGCAAGUCUGAUGUGAAAUCCUGGGGCUCAACCCCAGAACUGCAUUGGAUACUGCUUUGCUAGAGUACUGGAGAGGGAACUGGAAUUUACGGUGUAGCAGUGAAAUGCGUAGAGAUCGUAAGGAAGGCCAGUGGCGAAGGCGAGUUCCUGGACAGUGACUGACGCUGAAGCGCGAAAGCGUGGGGAGCAAACGGG
rnacentral:rRNA from 1 species